ensembl:lncRNA
AGUGGUGGAGAGGAGGGGAGGGUUGAGGGGUGGCGGAGAGGAGAGAAGGGUUGAGGGGUGGUGGAGAGGAGAGGAGGGUUGAGGGGUGGUGGAGAGGAGAGGAGGGUUGAGGGGUGGCGGAGAGAAGAGAAGGGUUGAGGGGUGGCGGAGAGGAGAGGAGGGUUGAGGGGUGGUGGAGAGGAGAGAGAAGGGUUGAGGGGUGGCGGAGAGGAGAGAAGGUUUGAGGAGUGGCGGAGAGGAGAGAAGGGUUGAGGGGUGGCGGAGAGGAGAGGAAGGUAGAGGGGUGGCAGAGAGGAGAGGAGGGUUGAGGAGUGGAGGAGAGAAGAGAAGGGUUGAGGGGUGGCGGAGAGGAGAGGAGGGUUGAGGGGUGGCGGAGAGGAGAGAAGGGUUGAGGGGUGGCGGAGAGGAGAGAAGGGUUGAGGGGUGGCGGAGAGGAGAGAAGGUUUGAGGAGUGUCAGAGAGGAGAGAAGGGUUGAGGGGUGGCGGAGAGGAGAGGAAGGUAGAGGGGUGGCAGAGAGGAGAGGAGGGUUGAGGAGUGGAGGAGAGGAGAGGAGGGUUGAGGGGUGGCGGAGAGGAGAGAAGGGUUGAGGGGUGGCGGAGAGGAGAGAAGGGUUGAGGGGUGGCGGAGAGGAGAGAAGGGUUGACGGGUGGCGGAGAGGAGAGAAGGGUUGAGGGGUGGCGGAGAGGAGAGAAGGGUUGAGGGGUGGCGGAGAGGAGAGAAGGGUUGAGGGGUGGCGGAGAGGAGAGGAGGGUUUAGGAGUGGCGGAGAGAAGAGAAGGGUUGAGGGGUUGCGGAGAGAACAGGAGGGUUGAGGGGUGGCGGAGAGGAGAGGAGGUUUGAGGAGUGGCGGAGAGGAGAGGAGGGUUGAGGAGUGGCAGAGAGGAAAGGAGGGUUGAGGGGGGGCGGAGAGGAGAGGAGGGUUGAGGGGUGGCGGAGAGGAGAGGAGGGUUGAGGGGUGGCGGAGAGGAGAGGAGGGUUGAGGAGUGGCGGAGAGAGGAGGGUUGAGGGGGGGCGGAGAGGAGAGGAGGGUUGAGGGGUGGCGGAGAGGAGAGGAGGGUUGAGGGGUGGCGGAGAGGAGAGGAGGGUUGAGGAGUGGCGGAGAGGAGAGGAGAGGAGGGUUGAGGAGUGGCGGAGAGGAGAGGAGGGUUGAGGGGUGGCGGAGAGGAGAGGAGGGUUGAGGGGUGGCGGAUAGGAGAGGAGGGUUGAGGAGUGGCGGAGAGGAGAGGAGAGGAGGUUUGAGGAGUGGCGGAGAGGAGAGGAGAGAAGGGUUGAGGGGUGGCGGAGAGGAGAGGAGGGUUGAGGGGUGGCGGAGAGGAGAGAAGGGUCAAGGGGUGGCGGAGAGGAGAGAAGGGUUGAGGGGUGGCGGAGAGGAGAGGAG